UAGAGAUAAGUUAAUUCAUUUCUUUUUCUAGUUGCAGGUAAAAAAAAUUCAUUGAUGAUCUAAUAGAGUUUGUUUUGUUAAUUAUAGAUAUGUCAAAGAGAAAGUGUGAACAUAAUGUUUUGAAGUCAAUUCAGUCAACACAUACUUCAGAAGAUGCAUUCAUAUCACAAGCAAACAAGUCUAAAGUACCAUUAACAUCAUUUCUUCAAUCGAAACCUCGAGUAACAUGCUCAUUCUCAAACACAUCGCAACUAAAUCGAUUAGUUCAAGACACAACACAAAGGAAUCCAAAAUUUAGGCUGCUCCAUUAGUUCAGCCCGCAAUAAAUCAGGAAACAUCAAUUCAGCCUCCAGCACGUCAAGCACCAUCAAAAUUGACUUCGUCGUUUUAGUCUGUAGCACAGCAGGAUGCAAUAGAGCAAACAUCAUCCGAACAAGCUGAAGUACAGCAAACACCAUCAGUUCAUGUUGCAACAUUACAAACACAAUUGCAAUAGGCUCCAUCAUUUCAGCCGGUAGCAGAACAACCACCGCCCAAAAAGUAUACUGAUCGCAAGUCAAGCAGAUAUUGGACGGUAGAUGCAAUAGAUUCAAAUGGGGCUGUGAAAAGACGACAUCUGAAGGUUAGUCACAUGUUAAAUUUAUCCUGUGAUGAACGUGUCAUUGUUGAAUUUGAUGACGUUGCACCAGUUGGAGAAGCACAAGGUCUUCUUGCAGGUUUUA